rnacentral:rRNA from 1 species
CUUGCUCUUGUGGAUCAGUGGCGAACGGGUGAGUAACACGUGAGCAACCUGCCCCUGACUCUGGGAUAAGCGCUGGAAACGGCGUCUAAUACUGGAUAUGUGACGUGACCGCAUGGUCUGCGUUUGGAAAGAUUUUUCGGUUGGGGAUGGGCUCGCGGCCUAUCAGCUUGUUGGUGAGGUAAUGGCUCACCAAGGCGUCGACGGGUAGCCGGCCUGAGAGGGUGACCGGCCACACUGGGACUGAGACACGGCCCAGACUCCUACGGGAGGCAGCAGUGGGGAAUAUUGCACAAUGGGCGAAAGCCUGAUGCAGCAACGCCGCGUGAGGGAUGACGGCCUUCGGGUUGUAAACCUCUUUUAGCAGGGAAGAAGCGAAAGUGACGGUACCUGCAGAAAAAGCGCCGGCUAACUACGUGCCAGCAGCCGCGGUAAUACGUAGGGCGCAAGCGUUAUCCGGAAUUAUUGGGCGUAAAGAGCUCGUAGGCGGUUUGUCGCGUCUGCUGUGAAAUCCCGAGGCUCAACCUCGGGCCUGCAGUGGGUACGGGCAGACUAGAGUGCGGUAGGGGAGAUUGGAAUUCCUGGUGUAGCGGUGGAAUGCGCAGAUAUCAGGAGGAACACCGAUGGCGAAGGCAGAUCUCUGGGCCGUAACUGACGCUGAGGAGCGAAAGGGUGGGGAGCAAACAGGCUUAGAUACCCUGGUAGUCCACCCCGUAAACGUUGGGAACUAGUUGUGGGGUCCAUUCCACGGAUUCCGUGACGCAGCUAACGCAUUAAGUUCCCCGCCUGGGGAGUACGGCCGCAAGGCUAAAACUCAAAGGAAUUGACGGGGACCCGCACAAGCGGCGGAGCAUGCGGAUUAAUUCGAUGCAACGCGAAGAACCUUACCAAGGCUUGACAUAUACGAGAACGGGCCAGAAAUGGUCAACUCUUUGGACACUCGUAAACAGGUGGUGCAUGGUUGUCGUCAGCUCGUGUCGUGAGAUGUUGGGUUAAGUCCCGCAACGAGCGCAACCCUCGUUCUAUGUUGCCAGCACGUAAUGGUGGGAACUCAUGGGAUACUGCCGGGGUCAACUCGGAGGAAGGUGGGGAUGACGUCAAAUCAUCAUGCCCCUUAUGUCUUGGGCUUCACGCAUGCUACAAUGGCCGGUACAAAGGGCUGCAAUACCGUGAGGUGGAGCGAAUCCCAAAAAGCCGGUCCCAGUUCGGAUUGAGGUCUGCAACUCGACCUCAUGAAGUCGGAGUCGCUAGUAAUCGCAGAUCAGCAACGCUGCGGUGAAUACGUUCCCGGGUCUUGUACACACCGCCCGUCAAGUCAUGAAAGUCGGUAACACCUGAAGCCGGUGGCCUAACCCUUGUGGAGGGAGCC